AACCAUAGAAACCUGCGGAGUACCUGCGGAGGGAUCAUUACCGAGUGAGGGCCCUCCGGGUCCAACCUCCCACCCGUGUUUAACGAACCUUGUUGCUUCGGCGGGCCCGCCUCACGGCCGCCGGGGGGCACCCCGCCCCCGGGCCCGCGCCCGCCGAAGACACCUGUGAACGCUGUCUGAAGUUGCAGUCUGAGACACUAGCUCAAUCAGUUAAAACUUUCAGCAACGGAUCUCAGAUCG
rnacentral:misc_RNA from 1 species